UACGAGUGGUGCAAGCGUUAUUCGGAAUUAUUGGGCGUAAAGGGUGUGUAGGCGGCAUCUUAAGUCAAUCGUUAAAUUCCUCGGCCUAACCGAGGACCUGCGGUAGAAACUGAUGUGCUAGAGGAUGGAAGAGAGAAGUGGAAUUCUCGGAGUAGCGGUAAAAUGCGUAGAUCUCGAGAGGAACACCGAUGGCGAAGGCAGCUUCUUGGUCCAUAUCUGACGCUGAGGCACGAAAGCGUGGGGAGCAAACAGG
rnacentral:rRNA from 1 species